rfam:Picoides pubescens contig35230, whole genome shotgun sequence.
CCAAAGGCUCUUUUCAGAGCCACUACAUAACCACUAAAAAAGAGCUG